AGCGAACGCUGGCGGCAGGCUUAACACAUGCAAGUCGAGCGGGCACUUUCGGGUGUCAGCGGCGGACGGGUGAGUAACGCGUGGGAACGAGCCCUCUGGUUCGGAAUAACUCAGGGAAACUUGAGCUAAUACCGGAUACGCCCUUUUGGGGAAAGGCUUGCUGCCGGAGGAUCGGCCCGCGUCUGAUUAGCUAGUUGGUGAGGUAACGGCUCACCAAGGCGACGAUCAGUAGCUGGUCUGAGAGGAUGAUCAGCCACACUGGGACUGAGACACGGCCCAGACUCCUACGGGAGGCAGCAGUGGGGAAUAUUGGACAAUGGGCGCAAGCCUGAUCCAGCCAUGCCGCGUGAGUGAUGAAGGCCUUAGGGUUGUAAAGCUCUUUUAUCCGGGACGAUAAUGACGGUACCGGAGGAAUAAGCCCCGGCUAACUUCGUG
rnacentral:rRNA from 1 species